CUGGACUAUGCAAGCAACUAUAAAGGUAGCUCCAACCCUGAGACUCUCACUUCUGCUCACUACAUUUGAAGGCUCUGGAUUUUGCGAGUGAGCUAUUCUUCGAGGCAGCAUCAGAGGAACAUGGAACAUUUACUCAAUGAUAACCUUUUGAAGUAUUUCACUCAAUACGCUUUGAUGGAGGGUAGCACCAAUGCACUGUCUAUUGGUGGACUGAAAAAUUUGCUUCAGAAUCAAUUUGCACAGUACCUGAAGGAUGCAUUCUCAGUUGAUAACAUAAUUAAAUCGUUGGACAAAAAUAAUGAUGGAAGUGUCACCUUUGAUGAGUUUGUGAUGGUUAUAAAAAAGAUAACUGGACAGUAAGGCAUCUGCAAGAAUAAGAAGUAUCACUGCUUUGAAAGGAGAAAAGCCUGGCAUUCAUAUACAGUAUACGUACACCUAAACCCACAGAUUUCCUUCUUGUGAUAAUAAAAAACAAAGAAUAAAGAUGUAUUUGACAUAUAACA